AUUGAACGCUGGCGGCAUGCCUUACACAUGCAAGUCGAACGGUAACGGGCCUUCGGGUGCCGACGAGUGGCGAACGGGUGAGUAAUGCAUCGGAACGUACCUUUCAGUGGGGGAUAACGUAGCGAAAGUUACGCUAAUACCGCAUAUUCUGUGAGCAGGAAAGCAGGGGAUCGCAAGACCUUGCGCUGAUUGAGCGGCCGAUGGCAGAUGAGCUAGUUGGGGGGGUAAAGGCUCACCAAGGCGACGAUCUGUGGCGGGUCGGAGAGGAUGAUCCGCCACACUGGAAUGGAGAAACGGUCCAGACUCCUACGGGAGGCAGACGUGGGGAAUUUGGGAAAAUGGGGGCAACCCUGAGCCAGACAUGCCGCGUGAGGGAAGAAGGCUUUCGGGUUGUAAAGCUCUUUGGGCGGGGAAGAAAUCGUAGGGGCUAAUCCCCUGUGCGGAUGACGGUACCGGCAUAAGAAGCACCGGCUAACUACGUGCCAGCAGCCGCAGUAACAC
rnacentral:rRNA from 1 species